GGGAGCCACAGGCAGGCAGAUCCACCGUGCCAAACCCCGAUGGGCCCCAUUCCCGUUCCCAUUCCCGGUCCUGCUCCACCAGGGCGCCCUGCGGGCCCCGCCCGCUGCCGCACCCGGAUGUGCCGACCUCCCCCCACCCCGGCACAGGCCGGCGCAUGCGCACCGGGGGCCGCCGCCGCCCCUCGCCCGCCUUGCGCCCCCCGCCCGCCCUGCCGGCGCUGCCAUGAUGUUCUGACACCAAAUACAGAGAACGGUAAUUUUCCCUACCAAGUACCCAACUUCCAUAAGUGUGAGAUUUGUUUGCUGUCUUUUCCAAGAGAAACCCAGUUCCAGCGCCAUAUGAGGGAUCAUGAGCAAAAUGACAAGCCUCACCGGUGUGACCAGUGUCCGAUGUCUUUUAAUGUUGAAUUCAACUUGACACUUCACAAAUGUACUCACAAUGGCGAAGAUCCUACGUGUCCUGUGUGCAACAAGAAAUUCUCCAGAGUAGCCAGUCUGAAAGCACAUAUAAUGCUACAUGAGAAAGAGGAGAAUCUUAUCUGUUCAGAGUGUGGCGAUGAAUUCACUCUACAGAGUCAGCUGUCCAUACACAUGGAAGAACAUCGUCAGGAAUUGGCAGGCAGUAGGAUUCACAGCUGCAAGUCUUGCAAAAAAGAAUUUGAAACUUCCUCGCAGCUAAAGGAGCAUAUGAAAACUCACUAUAAAAUAAGGGUAUCAAAUACCAGAUCUUACAACAGAAACAUUGAUAGAAGUGGGUUUACCUAUUCCUGUCCUCACUGUGGGAAGACGUUCCAGAAACCGAGUCAAUUAACACGGCACGUUAGAAUACACACAGGUGAGAGACCCUUCAAGUGCAGCGAGUGUGGGAAGGCGUUUAACCAGAAGGGGGCUCUGCAGACCCACAUGAUCAAGCACACGGGGGAGAAGCCCCACGCCUGUGCCUUUUGUCCCGCCGCCUUUUCCCAGAAAGGCAACCUGCAGUCGCACAUCCAGCGAGUUCACUCUGAGGUCAAGAAUGGCCCUACAUACAACUGUACAGAAUGUAGCUGUGUCUUCAAAAGCUUGGGUAGUUUAAAUACACAUAUCAGCAAGAUGCAUAUGGGUGGUCCACAGAAUUCUGCAAGUGCUUCAACAGAUGUAUCUCAUGUUGCAGCGGACUCUGUCACCCAGCCUUUAACGACAUCCCCUACUAAUCUUUUGCAACCUGUUGAUAACAAAUGGAAGAAUGCCACACAUUUUCGGUCUCCACUUCUUCAACAGACAGAAAACCAGGUGUCUACAGCUGCUGCUCAUCAGGGUCAGCAGACUGUCACUGAUGUCAUUCAGCAGCUCCUUGAGUUAUCAGAACCAGGUCCUGUAGAAAACAGCCAGCCUCAACAACCUGGUCAACAGCUCAACAUUGCAGUGGGGAUCAGUAGAGAUAUUUUGCAGCAAGCAUUAGAGAACAGCGGGUUGUCAUCAAUUCCUGUCUCUGCACAUUCUGCUGACUGCAGCCAGGCUAAGGCUGCUGGGGCCCAGGAUCAGAACCCAGAUGUCCCGAGUCUCUCAAAUCAUCAGGCUGAUUCUAACAGUGCCGAGCAAGACAAGGAGCAAGAGAGUACCGAUAAAAUAGAUAAAAAAGAAAAAAAGUUCAUUAAGAAAAAAUCACCGUUUUUGCCUGGUUCUAUACGUGAAGAAAAUGGGAUCAGAUGGCAUGUUUGUCCAUAUUGCUCUAAAGAAUUUAAAAAACCAAGCGAUUUAGUGCGCCACAUUCGCAUUCACACCCAUGAGAAGCCAUACAAGUGUCCCCAGUGCUUUCGCGCCUUUGCCGUGAAGAGCACUCUAACAGCACACAUAAAAACACACACUGGCAUUAAAGCUUUCAAGUGCCAAUUUUGUAUGAAAAGCUUUUCCACCUCAGGGAGUUUAAAAGUUCACAUUCGCCUGCACACAGGCGUUAGGCCUUUUGCUUGUCCUCACUGUGACAAGAAGUUUAGAACAUCAGGCCAUCGGAAGACUCAUAUCACUUCCCAUUUCAAACAUACGGAGCUAAGAAAGCUGCGACAUCAACGAAAACCCACAAAAGUUCGAGUGGGAAAGUCAAGUGGUCCAGUACCAGACAUCCCUUUGCAAGAGCCCAUACUCAUAACUGAUUUAGGUCUUAUCCAGCCAAUCCCGAGGAACAGCCAGGUCUUCCAAAACUAUUUUAACAGUAAUUUUGUGAAUAACGCAGAGAGACCAUACAAAUGCUACUAUUGCCAUCGAGCCUAUAAAAAAUCCUGUCAUCUUAAACAACACAUCAGGUCUCAUACAGGUGAAAAGCCAUUUAAGUGCUCUCAGUGUGGAAGAGGUUUUGUGUCAGCUGGAGUUCUCAAAGCACAUAUUAGAACACACACUGGAUUGAAAGCUUUCAAGUGCGUUGUGUGCAAUGGGGCCUUCACUACUGGCGGUAGCCUCCGGCGACACAUGGGGAUCCAUAAUGACCUUCGACCAUAUAUGUGUCCCUACUGUCAAAAAACAUUCAAAACAUCACUCAACUGUAAAAAACACAUGAAGACUCACAGAUAUGAACUUGCACAGCAACUUCAGCAGAAUCAGCAGUCUUCUUCAAUAGAUGAUUCUACAGUACAUCAGCAGAGCAUUCAUGUUUCUACACAAAUGCAGGUGGAGAUUCAAAGUGAUGAGCUACAGCAGUCAGAAACUGUUGCUACAGAUCAGCAGGCUAUUUUAGAGUUAGACCAGCAGCCAGUAGUAGGCACAGAAGAAACAGCACUAGAGCAAGAAUUGGCUGAUCAGCCUUUAGAGCAAGAUGAGGACAGAUUUGUGACAUCCCAGCAUGCUUUACAGGAAAACAUCACUCAGUUUGAACAACAGAGUAUAACACAGCAGUCAUUUGAUCAACAGAGCUUAUCACAAGGUUUUACUGUGAAUGACAGCUACAAUCAACAGACUCAAUUUCCAGCUGUACAACAGCUGCAGGAUUCAAGCACACUUGAGUCUCAGGCUCUUUCAACGAGUUAUCAUCCACCAGCCCUUCUUCAGGUUCCAAAUACAGACACUAUUAAUGUAACCACUCGCUUGAUGCAAGACCAAUCACCACAGGAAGAACUUGAAUUGCACACCCAACGGCCUCAUUUUCUUGAGGAUAAUGAAGAUCAAAGUAGGCGUUCAUAUAGAUGUGAAUAUUGCAACAAGGGUUUUAAGAAAUCCAGCCAUUUGAAGCAACAUGUACGAUCCCAUACUGGUGAGAAACCUUAUAAAUGCCAGCUCUGUGGCCGUGGGUUUGUUUCCUCGGGAGUUCUUAAGUCACAUGAGAAGACUCAUACAGGAGUUAAAGCAUUCAGCUGUAGCAUUUGCAAUACCUCCUUCACAACUAAUGGCAGCCUUACGAGGCACAUGGCAACUCACAUGAGCAUGAAGCCUUACAAGUGCCCAUUCUGUGAUGAAAGCUUUCGAACAACUGUUCACUGCAAAAAACAUAUGAAAAAACAUCAGGCAGUCUCCUCAGCUGUAGCAGCAGCUACAGAUACAGGAGGAGGAGUUGCAUGUGUUGAAGAUGAUGAUGAAAGCUCAGAAAGAACUUCCAGAAAAUCUCGUCCUGGUGUCAUAACUUUUACAGAAGAAGAGACGGCAGAACUGGCAAAGAUUAGGCCUCAAGAAAGUGCCACUGUUUCAGAAAAAGUUCUUGUCCAGUCGGCUGCAGAGAAAGACAGAAUUAGUGAGAUGAAAGAUAAGCAAGCAGAACUGGAAGCAGAGCCCAAAUAUGCCAACUGUUGCAGUUAUUGUCCCAAAAGCUUUAAAAAACCCAGUGAUUUAGUCAGGCAUGUUCGUAUCCAUACUGGAGAGAAGCCGUAUAAGUGUGAUGAGUGUGGGAAGAGUUUCACUGUAAAAUCCACUCUGGAUUGUCAUGUUAAAACACACACAGGCCAGAAGCUCUUCUGUUGUCACGUGUGCAGUAAUUCUUUCUCUACAAAAGGCAGUCUAAAAGUCCACAUGCGCCUGCACACGGGAGCAAAGCCCUUCAAAUGCCCACACUGUGAUCUGCGGUUUCGUACUUCAGGGCGCAGGAAAACCCACAUACAGUGUCACUAUAAACCGGAUGCAAAGAAAGUUAGGAAGCCUGUUGCCCGGACUUCAACUGAGGGAUUGCAACCAGUCAGUCUUCUUAAUUCAUCCUCAACAGACCCUAAUGUUUUCAUCAUGAAUAACUCUGUUUUGACGAGUCAGUUUGAUCAAAAUUUACUUCAACAAGGACUUGUGGGCCAGGCUAUCCUUCCUGCUUCAGUGUCAGCUGGAGGUGACUUAACUGUGUCCUUGACAGAUGGUAGCUUGGCCACUCUUGAAGGAAUACAGUUACAACUUGCUGCUAAUCUGGUUGGACAAAAUGUUCAGAUUUCUGGAAUAGAUGCCACUGGUAUUAACAACAUAACAUUACAGAUCGAUCCAAGUAUCCUACAGCAGACAUUGCAGCAGAGUAAUUUACUUACUCAGCAGCUGACUGGAGAUCCCACCAUGGCUCCACAGAAUCCCUCCCUCCAGGCAACAGAAAAUGCAGUGCCAGCUAAUGUGGUUAUUCAGCCCAUAUCAGGCUUGUCUUUGCAGCCCACAGUGACAUCAUCUGCUAACAUGACAAUAGGGUCCCUGUCUGAGCAGGAGUCUGUGCUGACAACCAGCGCUAAUGGUGCACAAGACAUUACUCAAGUCAUGACUUCACAGGGUAUGGUGUCAUCUACAAAUGGACAACAUGAGAUAAUGUUGACCAUAAAUAAUUCCAGUUUGAGUCAAGUUCUAGCUCAUGCUUCAGGUUCUACUACUGCAACCUCAUCAGGAAGUCCUCAAGAAAUCACUCUUACAAUAUCUGGCCAAGAUCUUAUUCAGCAUAAUUCUGGAAGCACUGAUCUGAACACUGGCUUAAGGCUGACAGCACCAACCAUCAGCAGUCAGACUACAGGUGCUACUUUAACUAUAAGCAAUGACCAGCUUCUUUCUCAGGGCCCUUCACUAAAUGCUCCAGAACUUAAUCCAACAGGGGGAGCAAACCUUCCUCCAGCAACACCGAUAUCUCAGUCUGCAGUUUCUGCACCGAAUUUGGUGAUGUCUUCAUCAGGAGUUGGAGGAGAUGGUAGUGUCACUUUGACUCUUGCUGACACUCAGGGAAUGUUGUCAGGUGGUCUUGAUGCAGUUACACUUAAUAUCACUUCACAGGGUCAGCAGUUCCCUGCUAUACUCACAGAUUCCAGUCUUGCUAGCCAAAGUGCAUCAGGAUCACAGCAAGUAAUACUGGUGAGCCAUACACCCCAUUCAGCACCUGCAAACUCUGAUGAAAUAACAUAUCAGGUGACAGAAGUUUCCCCUAAUGUGACUAAAAGCAGUCAAGCAGAAAAAGAAACUCGUGGGCACCAGUGUUUUGAGUGUAGCCAAACCUUUUAUUCCGUCACCAUGCUGACACACCACUGCAAGGAGGUUCAUGGCAAGGAGCGAAUACAUGUUUGCCACAUCUGCAAUAAGGCCUUUAAGAGGGCAACACAUCUCAAGGUAUUUGGAACACAUGCAAACCCAUCAGGGUGGACCUUCACUGAGUUCCCAGAAGCCUAGAGUGUUUAAGUGUGAUACUUGUGAAAAAGCUUUCGCUAAGCCAAGUCAGCUGGAGAGACACAGUCGCAUCCACACAGGGGAACGGCCAUUUCAGUGUACACUGUGUGAAAAAGCAUUUAACCAGAAGAGUGCUCUCAAAGUCCACAUGAAAAGGCACACAGGAGAGAGACCUUAUAAAUGUGACUACUGUGCCAUGGGAUUUACACAGAAAAGCAAUAUGAAACUGCACAUGAAACGGGCUCAUGGUUACACUGGUCCUGUACAAGAGCCUGCGAGUCACCAAGAACAAGAAGGGGAAGACAUUAGUCGUGCUCUGAAUUUGGAAGAAGUGGUACAAGAAUCUUCAAAUGAAUGGCAAAGUAUAGGCAAUGUUUUUCGAUAACACCUUGAAAUUUGAAAGUUAAAAAUACUUCUGGCACUCGAACUUUACAGUUAAAGCUUCAAGCAUUGAAGAUACUAACAAUAGGAUAAUAUAUUAUAGUUUUUUUAAUUAUUUACAAAAGUUACCUAAAAGAUGAAUUCUUUUUUUUAAGCUUGUAGAAGAAUAUUGGGAAAACUUCAUUUAAUCUGUGCUAAGUUGUCUGUGAAUCAAUGAACUCAGGUAAUAAUGUAUACAGUUUCACCUUGAAUUCACAGCCAGUAUAUCUAUUUAAAAAUAAACUGGAACUUUAUAUCAGAAUAGAAUUAUUCCCAUUUUUAAUGGAGAUGAAGAAUAACUUCACAGGAAAAUCAUGAAACUGUCAGUCAACUUUUUUUUAAUGUGUUUAAAGAAAUAAUUGAGAUUGAAAAUGAAAUGUUGCAGUUGAUGAUGCAUGCAGUAUAAAACAGUGGAGUUUUGCCUUUUUUUUCCUUACAAGGCACAGGAAAAGGCUGUAUUUCUUUUAAAAGCUUUCUUUUUUAGUGCAUUUUGAGAAUUUGUUGAAAAAAAUAAAAUACUGCAAGCUCAUGGCUUUUCUUGAGUUAAACUCUUGAGAGGGAGUAUGUUCAUUUUCAUUCCAACCACAGAGGCAGAUGGAUGUGAGUUUUAACAGUGUAAGUCCUGAGGUUUUGGAUUUGGCAAUAAUUACUUAAUAAGAAUCCAAAUGAGAAAAGGUUCCAGUAACAACCUCUGUUGUUGUUUGCUGUACUGGGUCAGCAGUUACAUAUCUCAGUAUCUGUGGAAAACAGCCAUAUACUGAAUCUGUGAGAUAAACAAGUACCAUUUUGUGGUAGCAGUGAGAAAAUUAGGUGCACACUAAGUCACCUAUACUAUACUAAUGUUCCCCAGUGCUGUAAACAGUUAUCAUUUUGAAUCUGUAAAUUCCUUAUUAUUUUCUUUGUGGAUUUUGGAAAUAUGUUACAUUUAUUUGUUGUUUAAGUCAUUGUUUCAGCAAAACUACCUAGCUGACUGGGUAUUGCUUUCAAAGGUGCCACUUUUUAAGUAUAUUGAUAGCAAAGAAACACUGGAGUAAAAGCAUAGUUGUCUUUUAGACAUUCCAAAGACAGAAGCUGUUUUCUUAUUUUUGCCUUGUUCGUUGGAAUUUUAUUUAUAUGUUACAUAUAUAUAGAUAUAUAUAUGUGUGCUUAUAUAUGUAUAUAUAUAUAUAUAUUUAAAGUCUACGAGCCUCUGUGUGGCCGAUCAGUAUAUUUUGUAAAUACUAAUCCCAGUUCCAAGGAGUUCAUCUGUUUGGUUGCCACAAGUACUUCUAGAUCAGUGGUGGAUAUGUUGUACUAUAAUACAGACCUGGACUUUAAUUUUCUUUCUAAAAGAUAAUUGUUCUCAGAUCCAAAAAGCUCUUUUCUGUAAAUAUUGUCUAUACUCUGUCUGUGAUACAAACUAGUUAUUUCAGAUUGCUGAAGCAAGAAAUCACUGUUGGUUUUGGUAGGGCAUCUCUUAAUUCUUUUGUCAACUGUUCAGCAUAUGUAUAUAAGUAAUAUAGUUGGUGACAUGAAAAUAACACUUUUGUUAUGUGGAAUAUUUAAUUGAAAAACAUACUAAAUAAUAUUACUUUUUUCCAAAUUCUGUUUUGUGUAUUUUUUAAGCAUAUGAUUCUGGAUUCCAGGAGAUUGGAAAAACUGUUUACUGUUUGAAUAUUAGAUGUGAAGAAUAAAGUCCUUCCAUCAGUGCCUUCCCUUCCAGGCAGCCUGUGAAUGUUUCAGCUGGUAAAGAAAGACAUUAUAUUUUACAGUUAUAUUUUACAGUCUGGCCUCAUGGCAUAGCAUGCUGUUUAUCUGUAAUAAUAUAGCAAAAUGUGCUGUGUUGUGUGUAGCAUGUAUGAAAUUCCCUGUUAUUUCAGUGAAUACUGGAUAAAUGCACAGAGGGCUUGGAACUAGGUGAUCUUUAAGGUCCCUUGCAACCCAGACCAUUUAAUGAGUCUGUGAUAUUUGGUACACAGAACCUAAAAGCUGAUCUCAUGGGUAAAAAGAUGGCAUUUUUAAAGAGUCACUUCUCAAAGGCAUAACCAAGUUAUGCCUUGAUUAGAGGCAGUGAGGCUGUUCAGCAAGCCUUGGAAGUGCUAACUGAACAGUGUGAGUUACAGAGUCAGCUGACAUUUUUCCUGAAGUUGGUUUGCUACUCUUCCAGUGCUUGGAAAGCCUGUCAGCUACAGGAAUAGACUUUAAAAGUUCCUUUUUAACAUUGUAUUUGAUUUGCUUCCCUGCACCCUCUUCAGCGGUGAACUUCAAGUGUCUUGACAGAGGUUUUUGUAGCCUUGGUAAGAUUGAGUUGUAGCCUUUCAGAGCAGUGUAUGUGUUGAUGUUCAGAACAAAUACAGACACGGUAACCAGUAUGUUGAUAUUUUCAAAAGCAGCCUUAAAGCAGAUGCAUUAUGUAAGGAAGCAGAAGAACUCUUCUUCUGAGGAGUGCUUGAUGUGUCACAUUGCAUAGUGGGUAAGUGGACAGCCCUUGUUCUUUCUGGUUUAAUGCAGUUGUAGGCUUGUGCUAGCCUUGGGGUUUUUGGCUUGUGUCUGGUAUCAAUUUCUUUUGGUUUGUGUCCAUUCCUUCAGAACAUUAAAUCACACACUCCUGGUAUUGGCUGUGCACUCUUGUUUCAGGAAUAAUCCUAUGCUUACAAAUCAAAUGGACAUUUAAACUGCUGGUUUUCAUCAAAACUACUAGUGUGUAACUAAAAGAAUAAAUUUCAGGCUAAGUUUUAAUCUCUUUUCAUAUUGGUAAAACAAUGCUUUCAAGUACUAUACCUAUUCCUCUAGAGGAAGUAAAUCAAAAAAGCCACUUUGACCCUCUGGCAAAGACGAUUGAGGGGAAAGAAGAGUGAUGAAGUCAAGGAAGAGAUUUUGGUUAAAUUCUGUUACUCUACAGUGUAGUAUAUUGAAAGAUGUAUUUCUCUGGGUUUUUUAUCUUAAAUAAUCUUUCACAUUUUUGAGGGCUGUUUGCACCACAAUUGUUCAUGAAGGGGGCUGGUUUUUAUUUCCUGUUCAUAGACAUUUUAUGCUUCUGGCCUGUAGCUGUCACUCAGUAGACACUGGCAUUCCAUAAUUCUUGUGUCCUAUUGUCAACCUUCUGGGCCAUGCAAUGUCACUAGAAGCCUGUGUGCAGGGUCCCCAGGUGUCAUUGUGUUAUUUUCUAGUAUGUGAACAUUAUUCAUAAACUCUGGAGGAUGGUGGGGAGGCAAUAAAUCAAACAGACCUAAAUAUAUAAAGAUAUAUAAAUAUGUAUAAAUAAAUAUGUAUAUCCUGUUCCUUUGUAAAAAACAAAACUGGCCCAAGUUUCAUUUCAAGUUGAUUACUUUAUUUCAAUAGUGACUAUUUUUAAAAGCUGUGUUCCUAUAAGAACAAUACGUGUUCAAAUUAAAUCAACUAUUACGUUGCAGAGUAUACAUCUGAAUGAAGCUACAAUAGAAAAAUACACAUAGCAACCAACAAAGGUAAUAGAUGUAAUAGUGUGUGUUUUCGGAAUAAUUUUGGCAGUUUUGUUUUCUCUAGUCUCUAUGUAUUUUCUAUCAUCUCAUCUUCCAUUGCUUCAUAUUAAUGGACACUGAUUUAAACCUACAAUAGAUUUAGAUGUGAAAUGUAAAUAACACAUAUUUAUUUAUAGGUAACUUCUACUAGGCACUUAUUAGGAAUGCUGUUUCAACCUAGGAAGCACUAACUGUAAUCUACAGUGCAUAGGCUAAAACUAAAAAAAAAUAAAAAUUAAUCAGACACUUAGAUGACAGGUUGAAGAAAGUGUAAGUUUAAGUAAUAAAACAGUGCAAUUCAGAAGAGCCUUUUAUUUCCCUAAGUGUGGUUGGAAAUACCAUCUCCACACACGUUCAUUUUAGUAAUUUGUGAACAAUUCAUAUCUAAAUCUAACUGAACUAUAAUUUAUUUCUACGAGGCAACUACAAUACAACAGUUAAAUGUUCACAGUAGUUUACUACGGGUUUGCUUUGGUGCACUGCCCUUAAUAGGCAUCCAGGUGUUACUCAGGCAAAAGAUGAGCCAAUCAAAUACAGCACUGCUGCAAUAGCAAGAGAAAGAUUUGAAAUUCUGAUGUGAGAUGUGCAGGACUAUCUGAGAUGCCAGUACUGAAGGGCUUUCUUUCAGAAAUUAGACUUUUUAUGUUUAUAUGCUUAUUUACUUAUUGUACUGCAAAGUUAAUGCCAUUGCAGCAGAAUUUAUGUGAAGCACCAGUGACGUCCAGUGGUCACAGGUGCAGUCUUAGAUGUUUCUCUGGGAAUAUCCCUUGUUUUGUAACAUUAGUCUAACUCAAUUUUGAAAUCCUCUUUCUCUCCCUCAUCUACUCUUUAUUCUAAUGGUUUGGAUGCAAUGAGCAAAUCAUAGUAUGGAAAGAAUUUCCUUAUUGCUAUUGCUCCACAUCAUAUUGAUUCUUCAACAUCUGCCCCCUCCCACACUUCACAUACCUUGAACUCCCAAUGUUUGAUAAACCUUUCCAUGACUGCCUAAUCCUGUUAUGAAAAUAAAUUAUUCUGUGAGUGAGAGAAGGAAGAUUAAAA